UGGCAAAAUCGUAAUAUUAGUAAAACAUAUUAUGACCUAAUUUUGUAUAUCAGUCAUAAUAUGAAACGUGGUGGCAAACUUGUAAAUAAGUUAAACAGCUAUUAUUACGUAGAUAUAGAUAUACGUCAUAAUAUGUUCUUUGGAUCUGAAAUUUUCUCACUCUCAGACUCUCGGUCUCAUCAGUUCCCUCUCACUCUCACAGUCUCGGUCUCUGAAAUUUUCUCACUCUCACACUCCUCCUCUGCGGCGUGCUAGGGCUGCCAUUUUCUCGUCUCCUCCACCAACGCCCACCACGUCGUGCUUGCUCUGAGAACACUCCUCCUCUACGACGCGCUACGGGCUGCCAUUUNGGGCUGCCAUUUUCUCGUCUCCUCCACCAACGCCCACCACGUCGUGCUUGCUCUGAGAACACUCCUCCUCUACGACGCGCUACGGGCUGCCAUUUUCUCGUCUCCUCCACCAACGCCCACCACACCGUGCUUUUCUUAGUCUGAGAACACUCCUCCUCUGCGACGUGCUAGGGGCGGCCAUUUUCUCAUUUCCUCCACCAACGCCCACAAUCGUCUCUGAGAACCCUAACUUUGUGGUCUCGGUGGUGUCGUCGCAACUGGAACCGGCUAAGAGGAAACGGAAGCGACCGAGGAAGUACGACACAUCAAAGCAAGCUCUUGUCGCUACGUCGUCGUCUGCGGACAAGAAGCCCCACUUACCAACGUUCCCUUCUUCCUCAUCUUUCACAUCCAAGAAAUCCCAUUCCUUCACUCUAGGUUUGCUUUCCCUUUCUCAAUUUCUCAAUUCAUGUCAUUCGUAAUCUAGGUUUGCUUUCCCUUUC
rnacentral:lncRNA from 1 species